UUGGCGUCUCCCCUGGAUCCGCGCCUGUCUAUGGUUUAUCGUUAUCUUAAAAAUUGUAAAACUAUAUUUCCCCCCAAUUUACACGUAUGCCAGACCACUCGCACACAUUUCAAUGGUUAUUCGACAUUUUCCGUUAAAUUACGAAAAUUGCCGGAAAUCUUGCAACAAAGACGUCACCAUUUCUUCCACAUGACGUCAACAAUGCUUUUACGUUUUAAUAAUAUAAUUUCGAUGUUGAAGCGAUACUACGUACAUUUUCCCGAAUGCUCAACUUCAAUAAUGUACGAACAGAAUCGCUUUUUGACAUUCAUAAUUAUAUUUAUUUUAAAUGUGUAUACAUGUGAAAUACUAAAAAUGUAAACUGUGAUGGAUCUAAUACUACUUAGCGGACUGCUACCUACUGAGUUGUUGCAGUAUUUCCUACAAGUGUGGAUAUAUACGAACAAAGCAUAUUUGGUACAGACGGAAUUAAGGGUGGGAGAUGGAUGAUGAUUUAAACACCAUCUCCAAGACCUAGAAAUGGUUUCCAGAAAUUGUUGAGAUUGAACAGUGCGUACAAAACGCAAACUGACGGACAAAAAGCAUUGACCCUCGUGGAAUUUCAAUCUUCCGAUGAGUUAUCGCGAGAGAAUGAACGGUCUUCAAAUCCAAACUGACGUUCCACGUGCGAAACAUUCAACCUGGGUGCCACUGUAUUCAGAUGCAAAUUUGACAAGUAAAGCCACGCAGCGUAAAAGAAAACAAAUCGCACUUAAAAUAAUUAGCGUUGUACUCCACCUAUUAAUGGAAAUCAGUGGUUCAAAACAAAGUUUAAAAGUCUGGGUGCAGUUAACCAGAAGGUUCACGAACUCUAAAUUUAACUCUGUAAUUUAAGAAACCUUUUAAUAGAGUUUCCGUAUAUAAAUUAUAUUAUUGAUGAUACAAUGUUUAUUUUAAGUGUUCUGAAUAUCUCGUGGUAUACAAAAUAACACGUUAUUAAAAAACCCGAUUAUUUUAAAUGCAGUAUUGUGUGAUUGUUGAAUAUUUUUCUUUGAUAUUUUUUUCAUUCCAACACAAGUUCACAAUCAUCAGCAUUGUGGUCGGAUUUAUCAAAACAACGUCAAUGAAAUAUCGAGUCGAAGUUUGUUUUGUUUAACAACAUCACUAUAGCACCAUUUUAUUAAUUAAUCAUUGGAUAUUAGAAACCUGGUAGUUAUUCCAUUGGCAGCGAGGAAUGAUUGAUGUGCACUUUCCCCACAGAUAAGACAAUACAUACAAUGGUCUUU